UCCGUAGGCGGUUCUUUAAGUCAGUGGUGAAAUCCCAGAGCUCAACUCUGGAACUGCCAUUGAAACUGAAGAACUUGAAUAUGGUUGAGGUAGGCGGAAUACGUUAUGUAGCGGUGAAAUGCAUAGAUAUAACGUAGAACACCAAUUGCGAAGGCAGCUUACUAAACCAUUAUUGACGCUGAUGGACGAAAGCGUGGGGAGCGAACAGGAUUAGAUACCCUGGUAGUCC
rnacentral:rRNA from 1 species